AAGGAUUGGACAGGAAGCUGGUAAUCUUGAGGGGUUAGAGAGGGCGGUUGGAGAUGGGUUUGGUGAGAUUGUGGAUAGUUAUAAUAAUCAUCAGUGAGAGUAAAAGCAGUGAUGGUUUUGCCUAGAGAAGGAUUAUCAUGUGGUGGAAGUGAAAUAAUGACCACCCCUUUAAUCCGGGGAGAGUUAUCAGAAUCCAUAUCUCCCUCUCUCCCUAAAAGGGUAUGUAUGAAUCAAUCAAAACAGCUAAGAUCGGUGUAAAAGCAC
rnacentral:misc_RNA from 1 species